rnacentral:tRNA from 1 species
UCAUUAGGUGACUGAAAGCAAGUAAUGGUCUCUUAAACCAAUAAAUAAUAGAAUAGUACCUAUUUCUAAUGAA